rnacentral:lncRNA from 1 species
ACAAGAUCUGGUAGUUUGAAAGUGUGUAGCUCUUCUGCCUUUGUGUGCUUUCUCUCUCUCCUGCUUCCAAGUCAAGAUGUGCUGGCUUCUCCUUUGCCCUUCUGUCAUUAUUGUAAGUUUCAUGAGGCCUCGGAGCCACGCUUCCUGUAUAGCCUGCAGAACUGUGAUCAUUCCACUCUUCUGCUAAUGUCAUGUUCUGGUUCAGGGAGUCCUCCAGGGAUGGCCAUACCUUUCUCUCCAAGAGCUUUGGCGAACUCUACUCCAAUCUGAACAGGAUGUCUCAGGUAAUAUUUUGCUGAAGCCACUUCAUC